rnacentral:rRNA from 1 species
UACGGGAGGCAGCAGUGGGGAAUAUUGCACAAUGGGCGCAAGCCUGAUGCAGCCAUGCCGCGUGUAUGAAGAAGGCCUUCGGGUUGUAAAGUACUUUCAGUCGUGAGGAAGGUGUUAAGGUUAAUAACCUUAGCAAUUGACGUUAGCGACAGAAGAAGCACCGGCUAACUCCAUGCCAGCAGCCGCGGUAAUACGGAGGGUGCGAGCGUUAAUCGGAAUUACUGGGCGUAAAGGGCACGCAGGCGGUUAAUUAAGUUGGAUGUGAAAUCCCCGGGCUUAACCUGGGAAUGGCAUUCAAGACUGGUUAGCUAGAGUCUUGUAGAGGGGGUAGAAUUCCAUGUGUAGCGGUGAAAUGCGUAGAGAUGUGGAGGAAUACCGGUGGCGAAGGCGGCCCCUGGACAAAGACUGACGCUCAUGUGCGAAAGCGUGGGGAGCGAAACAGGGAUUAGAUA